UACUUAUCUACUUGCCAAUUAGUGGGGGAUUAAAUACCGCAUACUCUGACUUCGGUCAGGAAAGGGUUCCGCAAGGGCCCGCUAAUUGAGAGGGAUAAGGCGUAUUAGCUAGUUGGUGGGGUAAUGGCCUACCAAGGUAAUGAUGCGUAGCCGGCCUAAGAGGGUGAACGGCCACAAGGGAACUGAGACACGGUCCCUACUCCUACGGGAGGCAGAAGGAGGAAACAUUUCGCAAUGGACGCAAGUCUAACGGAGUGAUACUACGUGAAGGACGAAGGUCUACGGAUUGUAAACUUCUUUACUAGUAGGUACUGCUUUCGGGCUUGCCUGCUAGCAAAAAGUCACGACUAACUAUGUGCCAGCAGUCGCGGUAAGACAUAGGUGGCAAACGUUAUCCGGAAUUACUGGGCGUAAAGGGUGCGUAGGUGGUUUAAUAAGUUACUGGUGGGAAAUCGGGGCCCAACCCCGUGGAAGUCAGUAAUACUAUUAAACUAGAGGGCCGGAGAGGUUAACGGAAUUCUAUGUGUAGCGGUAAAAUGCUCAAAUAUAUAGAGGAACACCAAUUGGCGAAGGCAGUUAACUAUUCGGCGCCUGACGUUGAGGCACGAAAGCGUGGGGAGCAAGACGGAUUAGAUACCCGAGUAGUCCACGCCCUAAACGAUGAGUACUAGAUAUUGGGAACUUGAUUUUCAGUGUCGCAAGAUAACUCGGUAAGUACUCCGCCUGGGUAGUACGGUCGCAAGGCUAAAACUCAAAGGAAUUGACGGGAACUCACACAAGCAGUGGAGCAUGUGGUUUAAUCCGAUAUGACGCGUAGAACCUUACCGGGGCUUGACAUGUUCGGCAAAACUAGGGAAACCUAGCGGAGGUUAUCCGGACACAGGUGUUGCAUGGCCAUCGUCAGUUCGUGUUGUGAGAUGUAUGGUUUAGUCCUAUUAACGAACGAAACCCUUGUGCUUAGUUGCUAACAGGUAAGGCUGAGGACUCUAAGCAGACUGCCAAGGCAACUUGGAGGAAGGCGAGGAUCAAGUCUGGUCAUC
rnacentral:rRNA from 1 species